GUUGUAAUGAAGAGUCUGCAUCUUAGCCAAGUGGUCGGGUGUCUCAUCCUGAUUUCCAGCUGUCCACUCCUGGGUCCCACGCCUCUACAUCCUUCUGCAUGGUUUUCUUUCAGUCCCGCCCAAUGCUCUUUGGGCCCUAUGAAAUCUUCUGAUCCUGGGAACACGGCCUGGCCUUGCUUUCUUCUCUGUGCCAGGCUGUGUGUGCUCAAUGCUGGGGUCACAGAGCCUGCCCUGAGGUGGGGUCACAGAGAUGCCCACUGGGGGAAGCAUGAGGCACAGGCAACUCAGCUCAGGAGGCACCAGCAGGAGAGAGGACAGCAGGCAGGGGAGGUGGCACAGCUGAGUGGCUUUGCCAUCGCAGGGAGGAAGAGUACGGCACUGUGCGUGUUCUGGUCUGACAGGUAACACAUGGAGGACAGGAAUGAUGUGUGCAAAGGCCCUGAGGUCUGUGCAUGCUUUGUGUGCUUUUUUUUAAUGGUACCUGGGAUCCAACGCCGGACCUUGCCAGGCAGGCAAUGGAACCACUGAGCUAAAUCCCCCGCUGCUUUGUGUGUUUGAAUAACAAGGUAGGAGUUCUGUGGGGCCCAGAUGGGCAGGGCUGCCAAUGGGAAUUAUAUUCUUGGACUGGGUUUCACUCCGUAGGUCAGAGAGCACAUCAGGGCUCAGGGAUGUUAUCUGCAUUUCGGACUCCUUACCGCAAAGGGGCAAGCCACUUCCCCUCUGUGGCCGUGUCACCUCUGUCUUGCUGUGUCCAGCCCGAUGUCCAGAACCCUCCUCCGUCUACACCCAACCCAAGCGUCAAGAGUGCCUAAAGCUGGCACAGCUGUGACCCUGAAAGGCCUCUAGGAAGCAGCGCCGCCCCCAUCCCCACCCCCACUGCUGGCACUGGUUCCCCCGCGGAGGAGUCCUCAGGGCGGGCGACCACUACGCAUGGAUUCACUGGGCUGCGCUGGGCCCGGGAGGAGACCGAGUCUCCCGUGGGGGAGGAGGUAGUGGUCGGGGAGGUGUCAGUUUUUAUAAAUGCUCUCCUGACAGGUAGGGAGGCCUGCUCUUCCGGAGCGGUGCUAAUCUGCCCCGGGCAGCUGGCUGGGAAGGAAGGGCCUGGGGCGCUGGGUAGGAGCAGCCGCUCUGCUCGCGGUUUUUCUCUCCCUCCGAGCUUUCCUUAGCUUGUUGGGGUGGGCAGGGGGGCAGGGUACAGCCCCACCGGCCCUCCCUGCUCCUGUCCCCUCCUUGAGGCCACUGUUCCCACCCCUGUCGGCUGAGGUCAGUAGGAGGCAGAGGCAUGGAGGCUUCUGCCUUCUUACCCCGCGCAUCAGUUCCAGGGCUCUCUCCCCAUAUCACAGCGCCACAUCACAGCGUGGUUCUGUCUGCUCCCUGGUCGGAGAAAUAAGUCCUCAGAUGGAAGAGCUAAGCCUGUCAGUGUGGGAUUUUGUCAGGCGGCCUGCACCUCAGGACUGGUACUUUUGCCUCAGGGAAGGAGGGUUUCUGACUCCCUCAGCUUCAGAAUCCCCUGCUGUCAGUUUCUGCAGGCCAAGGCCAUGCAGAGUUCUCCAUCCUGUGGAGCCCAGUUCACAUGGGUGGCGCUUGCCAGGAAUCCCAGACCUCAGAGACUAAGGCAGGAGGACUGAAAGUUCUAGGCCUGGAAUCCUACCUAAGUCUAUGGAAUUCUGAUGUGCCCACAGCCGA
rnacentral:lncRNA from 1 species